UGGUGGCAACGGAUCUACACGCUG
rnacentral:siRNA from 1 species